rnacentral:rRNA from 1 species
UACGGAGGAUGCAAGCGUUAUCCGGAUUUAUUGGGUUUAAAGGGUGCGCAGGUUGUUUGAUAAGUCAGUGGUGAAAGUCUGUCGCUUAACGGUAGGAUUGCCAUUGAUACUGUUGGACUUGAAUAUGGAUGAGGUAGGCGGAAUGUGUAGUGUAGCGGUGAAAUGCAUAGAUAUUACACAGAACACCGGUUGCGAAGGCAGCUUACUAAUCCAUCAUUGACGCUGAGGCACGAAAGCGUGGGGAGUCAAACAGGAUUA